GUCACACAUGGAAUAAACAAAACAUACAGUCAAUAAUACAGUAGGAAAAAAAAGUCUAUAUACAGUGAGUGCAAAUGAGGUAAGAUAUGGAAGUUAAGGCAAUAAAUAGGCCAUGGUGGCGAAGUAAUUACAAUAUAGCAGUUAAAAACUGGAAUGGUAGAUGUGCAUAAGAUUAAAGUGCAAGUAGAGAUACUGGGGUGCAAAGGAGCCAGAUAAAUACAUUAAUACAGUAUGGGGAUGAGGUAGAUAGAUGGGCUGUUUACAGAUGGGCUAUGUACAGGUGCAGUGAUCUGUGAUAUAUAUAUAUACAGUGGGGAGAACAAGUAUUUGAUACACUGCCUAUUUUGCAGGUUUUCUACUUACAAAGCAUGUAGAGGUCUGUAAUUUGUAUCAUAGGUACACUUCAACUGUGAGAGACGGAAUCUAAAACGAAAAUCCAGAAAAUCACAUUGUAUGAUUUUUAAGUAAUUAAUUUGGCCAAGAUCUUUCGAAGACCUUAGAAAGACAGGGUAGGAUAGAUAUAGGUCUGUAGCAGUUUGGGUCUAGAGUGUCACCCCCUUUGAAGAGAGGGAUGACCAGCUUUCCAAUGUUUGGGAAUCUCAGACGAUACGAAAGAGAGGUUGAACAGGCUAGUAAUAGGGGUUGCAACAAUUUUGCAAUUUCAGCAGAUCAUUUUAGAAAGAGAGGGUCCAGAUUGUCUAGCCCGGCUGAUUUGUAGGGUCCGGAUUUUGCAGCUCUUCCAGAACAUCAGCUAUCUGGAUUUGGGUGAAAGAGAAAUGGUGGGGACUUUGGCGGGUUGCUUUGGAGGGUGCCGGGCAAUUGGCUGGGGUAGGGGUAGCCAGGUGGAAAGCAUGGCCAGCCGUAGAGAAAUGCUUAUUGAAAUUCUCAAUUAUAGUGGAUUUAUCGGUGGUGACAGUGUUUCUGUCACAACCUGACCUUAGAGAGCCUUUUUAUUUCUCUAUUUGGUUAGGUCAGGGUGUGAUUUGGGUGGGCAUUCUAGUUUUCUAUUUCUUUGUUGGCCGGGUAUGAUUCCCAAUCAGAGGCAGCUGUCUAUCAUUGUGUCUGGGCAGCCUGUUUUCCACCCUAUGUUGUGGGAUCUUGUCUUUGUAUAGUUGCUGUUUAGCACUACAGAGCUUUACGUUCGUUUAUAUUUUGUUGUUUUUUGGUGUUCAUUUAAUAAAGUACGAUGAACAUUUUCUACGCUGCGCUUUGGUCUCGUUCAAUUGACGACGGACGUAACGGUUUCCUAGCCUCAGAGCAGUGGGCAGCUGGGAGGAGGUGCUCUUAUUCUCCAUGGACUUUACAGUGACGUAACAGUUUCCGAGCCUCAGAGCAGUGGGCAGCUGGGAGGAGGUGCUCUUAUUCUCCAUGGACUUUACAGUGACGUAACAGUUUCCUAGCCUCAGAGCAGUGGGCAGCUGGGAGGAGGUGCUCUUAUUCUCCAUGGACUUUACAGUGACGUAACAGUUUCCUAGCCUCAGAGCAGUGGGCAGCUGGGAGGAGGUGCUCUUAUUCUCCAUGGACUUUACAGUGACGUAACAGUUUCCUAGCCUCAGAGCAGUGGGCAGCUGGGAGGAGGUGCUCUUAUUCUCCAUGGACUUUACAGUGACGUAACAGUUUCCUAGCCUCAGAGCAGUGGGCAGCUGGGAGGAGGUGCUCUUAUUCUCCAUGGACUUUACAGUGACGUAACAGUUUCCUAGCCUCAGAGCAGUGGGCAGCUGGGAGGAGGUGCUCUUAUUCUCCAUGGACUUUACAGUGAC